rnacentral:sRNA from 1 species
CACCACCACCACCACCUGCCUUUCUCAAAUUCCAUCCCCCAGCGUGCAUAUAGGUCAUAUAUAGGCACUUGCACAACAACCCCUUCUGCUGCACUCAAGUGAGGAGUAUUGUGUUAGGCUCCAGAGUGAGCCCCUCCCCUCACAUUUAAAAAGAAUACUCAUUUUGACUCAUCAGCACGAUCUGCACAUCUAUGUUUUUCUGCAGGUAUUUAAGAAGACAUUUAGGUGACCACAUCCAGAUGAGCCAAAGGGAUUGUUUAAACAACUACUUUUUUCCCUGCAACUUUGUAUUUUUUGUUUUCAAAUCCACAAAGAAAGUGAAAAGCACUAUAAUGAAUAUCAAUAUGGCUGUGACCUACGUUUACCAGUCAUUAGAAUUUUGUCUUCCUCCCUGCCUUCCUCUGUGUGUGUGUAUGUGUUUGCUACAGCAUUUGAAGUUAAUUUACAAAUAUCUCAGCAGUUUCCCCCUAAAAAACUUUAGCACACGCCUCCUAUAUCAUAUCCAAGAAAAUUAAUUUCAUGUCAUCUGUUUACCACCCAUAUUGCCUCAGUUGUCUCAAAAAUUUCUUUUAUAUCUCACUUUUUGGAUCCAUGAUUCCAUCAAGAUUUCCACAUUACAUUUAAUUUUUAUGUCUUUUUAGUUUCAUUUAAACCAGUACCUCUAUCUUUUUAUUUUUUCAUGACAUCAACUUCUGAGGAAAAGCAUCAUAAGCAUCAUUCUUAGUAGAUUAUUUUCAUCGAAUUUUUUUUUUUUUUUUACUAAGAUAUUGAUUAUCUUACACUUGGGAAAUGACACCGAAAGCAGUAUUUUUAUCCAAAGGAUUCUAAUUAGAAACAGUUGAAUGGAUACACACACCAGAAUGAUCUUCUAAAUUGUACAAUCUGCUGUCUCGUGGCUAUCUAUGCCCAUGCCUCAGUCAGCAAUGCCCCAUGUGCUGCUUUGCAAUUUUACAGUUUCUACCUCCAGAAACUUCACAUCUAUCUCCUUUUGGUGAACGAAUAAAACACCAGUUUUCUUUUUCUGCUAUUUCAUUCAGAGCAGAGUUGCAGGAGAAGACGACUUCUGUAUUUCCCUUAACAGUUGCUUUGAAGACUAUAGGGAAGACUAGAGUAAGACUCCUAAAGAUUGGAAUCUGGUAUGAAUUUGUGAUGAGGUUGUGACAUAAAAAGCAUAAUAAAAUAUAUGACAAGAAAUGGUUAGAUAACAGAACUCUAGGGAGAUUUUUGGCAAGGAGAUUUUAGGAACUGACAUCCUAGUGGUACUUUUAAAUUGUUUAUUUCACUGAAUAAAUCUUGGCGGUACAUACUCUUGUCUCCUCGUAAAGCGUUAGAGAUUACAGCUACAUUUUGAGUUAGUAAGACAACAGAUACCUAUCUGAGAUACUUUUGGUGAGUUUUAACUUGGAGCCAUGGUAAUAAAAUAAUCAAUUGACCUCUGAUAGUCAUAAGCAAUGAAAAUUAUUUACUGGUAAUUUUACUACUGAAUAUUUUCAGCUACUGUUUUUCUUCCAGGUAAGAAAUUAUAUUCUGCAUAAAAACAAAAUCAACUUUAUUAUCUCAAAGUUAAAUUCCUCAUUUUUGAAAAGGAUAAUUUAGUAUUCAAGUAAACAUUAAAUAAGACAGUUUUUGAAUGCGUACUUGAAUUAAUAAGUGUGUAUAUUCGGAGGCUGAAAUUGGUUUUUAUCUGUGGAUUACAUUGAAUUAUAAUAAGCUUGCUUAUAAACCAAAUUUUAAAAUUAGAUUUAUGAUAAAUGUCUUUAUUUCUAUUUUAGUUGCUGCCAAACAAGGUGAAUCCGACCCAGAGAGGAAAGAAACAAGGCAGAAAGUAGACGACGACAGAAAACAUGAGAUAGAAGCUGCUAUAGUGCGGAUAAUGAAAUCUAGAAAGAAGAUGCAGCACAAUGUUCUAGUAGCAGAGGUAACUCAGCAGUUGAAGGCGCGAUUCUUACCAAGUCCAGUUGUUAUUAAGAAACGUAUUGAAGGACUUAUUGAGAGAGAAUAUUUGGCACGAACACCUGAGGAUCGCAAAGUAUACACAUAUGUAGCAUAAAAUGCGUUCAGAAAUUUGAUUUAUUCUUGGACUGUACUCUUCGCAUGGACUGGGAAGUUCUUUUAAAUCAUUAAAUAUUAAGACGACCAUCUCUUCUAUUAAAUUACAGUACAUGUUCUAGACCAUUGAGAUCAAGCCUUUACUCCCUUUGAGAGUUUUCAACAUCAGUUGAUUGAGCUUCAGGCUUUACAACGUUUAUCCCUGUAGAGAUCAUCUUUACAGUUCCUCGGGAAAAUGUGAAUGUGCUGCGUUUUGUUUUCUUUACUGUAUGAAAACAGGAAAAUAAAAGAGAAAUUUAGAAAAUACAGCUCAUUACAAUAAAAUUGUUGGAUUUCAUUUCCCC